rnacentral:rRNA from 1 species
CCUACGGGAGGCAGCAGUGGGGAAUUUGGGACAAUGGGCGCAAGCCUGAUCCAGCCAUGCCGCGUGCAGGAUGAAGGCCUUCGGGUUGUAAACUGCUUUUGUACGGAACGAAAAGACUCUGGUUAAUACCCGGGGUCCAUGACGGUACCGUAAGAAUAAGCACCGGCUAACUACGUGCCAGCAGCCGCGGUAAUACGUAGGGUGCGAGCGUUAAUCGGAAUUACUGGGCGUAAAGCGUGCGCAGGCGGUUAUAUAAGACAGAUGUGAAAUCCCCGGGCUCAACCUGGGAACUGCAUUUGUGACUGUAUAGCUAGAGUACGGCAGAGGGGGAUGGAAUUCCGCGUGUAGCAGUGAAAUGCGUAGAUAUGCGGAGGAACACCGAUGGCGAAGGCAAUCCCCUGGGCCUGUACUGACGCUCAUGCACGAAAGCGUGGGGAGCAAACAGGAUUAGGUACCCUGGUAGUCCACGCCCUAAACGAUGUCAACUGGUUGUUGGGUCUUCACUGACUCAGUAACGAAGCUAACGCGUGAAGUUGACCGCCUGGGGAGUACGGCCGCAAGGUUGAAACUCAAAUGAAUUGACGG